rnacentral:lncRNA from 1 species
AAAGUGUACUACAUUAAAAGUGUUACUACAUUUUUUAGUUUAUUGUCAUGUCAGUGUUGAACAUCACGUAACACUGUGAAAAGUACCUUCAUAAAAUAAUACACACACACACACACAUUUUCUGAACCGCUUGUCCCAUAUGGGGUCGCAGGGAACCGGAGCCUACCCGGCAACACGGCGUAAGGCCGGAGGGGGAGGGGACACACCCAGGACGGGACGCCAGUCCGUCGCAAGGCACCCUAAGCGGGACUUGAACCCCAGACCCACUGGAGAGCAGGACCCGGUCCAACCCACUGCACCACCGCACCCCCAGACUCAUAAAAUAAUAAUGUAGUAUAAUACAGAAAAAACUGUAAUCAGUAGCUGAUAAAAACAGCUGAGAAGGUAACACUGGUCUACACAGAACUCCUGGCUACCUGCUGUCAGUCUGGACAGUUAAGUCCUUGGCAUUUCAUUGCCUUUUUGAGUGGAAAUUUUGGAAAAAAAAAACACUGUUGGCUAAUACUGACACCAUGUUGGGAGGAAUGCUUGAGUUGUAUUCUUCUUCCAUCCAGCUCAUUUUGUGUUUGUGAGUCGUGAGUACAGUACUCUUGAAUGAGAGCUGUAAAACCUGUGACUGCGGAAGGUCACAGUCACUUGAGGGCAGAGAGGCCCAAAGAUCCACAGCUUUGUCCUCACUGCAUUCAGGACUCUCUGUCGCAGCUGGAGGAGGACUCUGUGUUCAGUCCCCUGUCCCUGACAACCAACAUGUAUGCACACCUGAGAGGGCUCCUCACACAGCGCUCAUACUGCAAGCUGCAGCGCAGGGAGCAGCAUCACGCUCACCAGGGACAGCUGUCAAGACAGUGCUGAAACCCAUCUGACCAUUGUCCACUGGUCUGUUCUUCAUCAUGGUGCUCCCGUGUUCCUGUCGCAUGCAGCAGCCGAGCCGGCAGCCUCAGGGCAGAGCGAGGGCAACUGUUGCUCCUUUUCCGGCUUCGUCGGCCCUUAAGGUCUCGCGCCCACAGCUCACCAUGAACCGUCCACAUGCCCAGUGUGUGUGUGCCGAUGAAAAAGAGGACCUGUCACAGGUGCUGUGAAGACUUACGCAACACACAUCUAUGCUUGGGAUACUCGGUAAGGGCAGUCAAUCUCCUUCAUCAAGCACUACAUUUUAAAAUCACAUCAUUUGUAAAGACAGACAGACAUACCGCAGCCCUUCUGAAGCCCUACAGUUUUCUUAAUUUGAAUAUAAUCACUUCAGUGUGUUGUCCACA